rnacentral:rRNA from 1 species
CUAUGACGGGUAUCCGGCCUGAGAGGGUGAACGGACACACUGGAACUGAGACACGGUCCAGACUCCUACGGGAGGCAGCAGUAGGGAAUAUUGCUCAAUGGGGGAAACCCUGAAGCAGCAACGCCGCGUGGAGGAUGAAGGUUUUAGGAUUGUAAACUCCUUUUGUUAGAGAAGAUAAUGACGGUAUCUAACGAAUAAGCACCGGCUAACUCCGUGCCAGCAGCCGCGGUAAUACGGAGGGUGCAAGCGUUACUCGGAAUCACUGGGCGUAAAGAGCGCGUAGGCGGGAUAGUCAGUCAGGUGUGAAAUCCUAUGGCUUAACCAUAGAACUGCAUUUGAAACUACUAUUCUAGAGUGUGGGAGAGGUAGGUGGAAUUCUUGGU